rnacentral:lncRNA from 1 species
AACUCUUCUUUCUUCCUUCAACUUCCAUGCCAAGCCUAAUAGAGAUCAGAUCUAAGAGAGAAAAAGAGAGAGAAGAAGAGAAGAAGAAAGGUUCUUCUUUUUUUCUUGGUAAUCUGGUCCAAAUUUCGUCGGAUCUGCGUGAAGGAGUUCGCACAGUGAUCUUCUUCUUCGAGAUCUAGAAGAAGAGAUGUAGAUCCAAGGCUGAGGAGCGAGAUCUGUAAGAUGCUAGUGCAUCGAUGAUCUUGAUGUUCUGAUCAAGCAUCUUCGUGUGGAUACCA